rnacentral:rRNA from 1 species
UAGGGAAUCUUCGGCAAUGGGGGCAACCCUGACCGAGCAACGCCGCGUGAGUGAAGAAGGUUUUCGGAUCGUAAAGCUCUGUUGUAAGAGAAGAACGUGUGUGAGAGUGGAAAGUUCACACAGUGACGGUAACUUACCAGAAAGGGACGGCUAACUACGUGCCAGCAGCCGCGGUAAUACGUAGGUCCCGAGCGUUGUCCGGAUUUAUUGGGCGUAAAGCGAGCGCAGGCGGUUUAAUAAGUCUGAAGUUAAAGGCAGUGGCUUAACCAUUGUUCGCUUUGGAAACUGUUAAACUUGAGUGCAGAAGGGGAGAGUGGAAUUCCAUGUGUAGCGGUGAAAUGCGUAGAUAUAUGGAGGAACGCCGGUGGCGAAAGCGGCUCUCUGGUCUGUAACUGACGCUGAGGCUCGAAAGCGUGGGGAGCAAACAGG